AGAAGUGUCCGUUAGAUAUUCAUCUGUCCACAGUUAGACAAACUGUCUAUAAAUGGAGAUGAUUUAGUACUAUAGGUACUCUCUCUAGAAGUGUCCGUUAGAUAUUCAUCUGUCCACAGUUAGACAAACUGUCUAUAAAUGGAGAUGAUUUAGUACUAUAGGUACUCUCUCUAGAAGUGGCCGUUAGAUAUUCAUCUGUCCACAGUGAGACAAACUGUCUAUAAAUGGAGAUGAUUUAGUACUAUAGGUACUCUCUCUAGAAGUGGCCGUUAGAUAUUCAUCUGUUCACAGUUAGACAAACUGUCUAUAAAUGGAGAUGAUUUAGUACUAUAGGUACUCUCUCUAGAAGUGGCCGUUAGAUAUUCAUCUGUUCACAGUGAGACAAACUGUCUAUAAAUGGAGAUGAUUUAGUACUAUAGGUACUCUCUCUAGAAGUGGCCGUUAGAUAUUCAUCUGUCCACAGUUAGACAAACUGUCUAUAAAUGGAGAUGAUUUAGUACUAUAGGUACUCUCUCUAGAAGUGGCCGUUAGAUAUUCAUCUGUUCACAGUUAGACAAACUGUCUAUAAAUGGAGAUGAUUUAGUACUAUAGGUACUCUCUCUAGAAGUGGCCGUUAGAUAUUCAUCUGUCCACAGUUAGACAAACUGUCUAUAAAUGGAGAUGAUUUAGUACUGUAGGUACUCUCACUAGAAGUGGCCGUUAGAUAUUCAUCUGUUCACAGUGAGACAAACUGUCUAUAAAUGGAGAUGAUUUAGUACUGUAGGUACUCUCACUAGAAGUGGCCGUUAGAUAUUCAUCUGUUCACAGUGAGACAAACUGUCUAUAAAUGGAGAUGAUUUAGUACUGUAGGUACUCUCACUAGAAGUGGCCAUUAGAUAUUCAUCUGUUCACAGUGAGACAAACUGUCUAUAAAUGGAGAUGAUUUAGU